CUGUCCAGAAAGGCCCCCCCGCUACUUGGAAACGGGGACGACACUUUGAAGAGUCCGAAGCAGAGAAAUCAAGAGGACGGUUGUCGUGUCCUUGCGGUAGAAAAGCGAACUGAAAGUGAAAUAGUGAACCAGCUAACAAGGUAGCCAGAGAUCGAACCGUUUUGUAUCCACUUCUCUAGUUACAAUUUCAUUGAUUUGUGGAAUCGCAGCCGGACGUUUCUGAAAAGACCUCGUUAGUAUUGAACUGGUUAGCGACACUGGACGUGUUGUGUAUGUUUGCUUGCCAGAUAUCUAACGUUACUGUUACCUUUUGACAUUUUGUUAUUACAUUCAGUCGAUAGAUACUAAAACUAGGUGUAAUAAUCUUCCACAACCAUGGAAUAUAUGACAGCCCUCCAGAAGAAGAGACGCCACGAAGGAGACCUUCAAACCCGGAAAGAUUGCCAAGCGAAACGACUGUGCAACGGAGCGGGAGUCUGCGUCCAGGUUGAACAAGGCGGGAUGGUGACUGACAGCAUGCAACAGCAGGGUGUCCCAAACAGCAGUGUCGGCAGCAACCACCCAGCUUCUAACGUGGUCUAUGCAGUCCAAGGCAGCCAAUGUUGUAAUCGGUGCCUGGCAGGAGAGCCCGGCCACAUUAACCACAUCAUGGGGUAUUGAUCGGUUAUCGUCAUGAUCAGAGAUCGUUUGAAGACCUGAAGGAUCCUUGAGGAUGAAGAGAAUGAUCGAUUGAUUGAGUGUUUGAUCAAGCCAUUUUGUAUGUGGCUGUGAACCGUUUUAUCAGUGUGCCUUGCCUUUUCUAGCUGUUUUAACCACAAACACUGUACUGCUUCAUGUAUAGCCUCGCAUGUUUACACUACCUAACACUGGUAUGGGGAAAAUGGCUACUAACCAGACAGUAGACAUGAUGAUUUCAUACCAUCUCACUAACAUUCUGUUUGAAUGGAAAGAUAACCACUACAGUGUAGUCUACACACAACCAUAAGGAAGGAGCCAUCAAAGCCACAAUUAAUACUGUAACUUUACACUGUAAUGUGGAUACUCCUUUAAAGUCAAUGGAUGUGUUUUAAAAAAAUAAAAAUAAAUACUUAUUGUCCCAGUAUCAAGACUGCUUUCUAAAGCUGCCAGAAAAUAUACAUGUAAAUAGUAAUAUUGAUAAGUACAAACUUUUUAAAGUUAUAUAAUUGUUAACCUUUUUAGAAAUGGAUAAUCCUGUCUGCAAAUAUAUUUUUGUGAAAUAAAUAUUCUAUAUAUUUUUCUAAAAUGUAAUUGGCUGAAUAUAAAAUAAGAAGUUUGGUAACCAAUAUUUGUGCUAAUCGUUUAAUUUUGGAUAGUGUCCUGAAUUGUGUUAAUCUCAUGAACGUUUUCAGCCAGUUUUCAAUAGUUUGAUCUACACUUGAAAUGUUGAGCCGUUUUGACAAGGAUUUGUCUGUUUCCCACUAGAUUUGGUUUUGUGUCGUCUUAGAAUGAUUUGUCUGUUUCCCACUAGAUUUGGUUUUGUGUCGUCUUAGAAUGAUUUGUCUGUUUCCCACUAGAUUUGGUUUUGUGUCGUCUUAGAAUGAUUUGAAGCCAGUUUCCACCUUGCCAAGCAGUGAGUUUUAUAGUUGAUGCUGUUAAAUUUCAGGUUAUGACUCAAUGUAAUAGUUUAUUUUUAGUACUAGGAAAAACAACUUUCAAUAAAGUAUGAUUUUGAUGAA